CAGUAGCCGCGGGAAUACGAAGGUCCCGAGCGUUGUUCGGAAUCACUGGGCGUAAAGGGAGCGUAGGCGGCGUGGUAAGUCAGAUGUGAAAUCCCGGGGCUCAACCUGGGGACUGCGCUUGAUACGGUCGAGCUAGAGGAUGGAAGAGGGUCGUGGAAUUCCCAGUGUAGAGGUGAAAUUCGUAGAUAUUGGGAAGAACACCGGUGGCGAAGGCGGCGACCUGGUCCAUUACUGACGCUGAGGCGCGACAGCGUGGGGAGCAAACAGAAUUAGAUACCCCCGUAGUCCCUGUCUCUUAUAC
rnacentral:rRNA from 1 species